rnacentral:lncRNA from 1 species
UUCAAAUAUCUUUAUAUGGCUCAGCUCAUUUUGCUAUCGUAUCCCCGUCCGAGUUGUGGACUUCCACGAUUCCUCAGGAGCAUUUCGUGUUACACCCUCCUGUCUUGGUGUGCCUCUGCAACUCCCGCUUGUCUGGGUUCUUUUUUCUGCAUCCCUUUUGUGUGGGAGAAAAAGUCGAUCCCUUGUUGGUUUUGGUCGACUUUUGCUAAAUGUCGAUCUCAUGUUGAAUUUCCUCGAUUUUCGCUAAAUGUCGAUCUCUUGUUGAGUUUGGUCGACUUUUGUCAAAAAGUCGAUUCCUGGUGCUUUAGGUCAAAAGUCGAUCCCUUGCGUAAAAAGUCGACUUUGCCAAUUUUGUCCUUUUGUGCUGCCUAGGGUCUAUAAAUAGGACCCCUAGGUUCUCCUUUUCCUUCAUCCAUCCAUGGCUCUUCUUGUGAGUCUCUUUGCUGAUUUUAUUCAGG